rnacentral:rRNA from 1 species
CGAACGGCAGCGCGGACUUCGGUCUGGCGGCGAGUGGCGAACGGGUGAGUAAUACAUCGGAACGUGCCCUGUUGUGGGGGAUAACUAGUCGAAAGAUUAGCUAAUACCGCAUACGACCUGAGGGUGAAAGCGGGGGACCGUAAGGCCUCGCGCAAUAGGAGCGGCCGAUGUCUGAUUAGCUAGUUGGUGGGGUAAAGGCCCACCAAGGCGACGAUCAGUAGCUGGUCUGAGAGGACGAUCAGCCACACUGGGACUGAGACACGGCCCAGACUCCUACGGGAGGCAGCAGUGGGGAAUUUUGGACAAUGGGGGCAACCCUGAUCCAGCAAUGCCGCGUGUGUGAAGAAGGCCUUCGGGUUGUAAAGCACUUUUGUCCGGAAAGAAAUCGCUCUGGCUAAUACCUGGGGUGGAUGACGGUACCGGAAGAAUAAGCACCGGCUAACUACGUGCCAGCAGCCGCGGUAAUACGUAGGGUGCGAGCGUUAAUCGGAAUUACUGGGCGUAAAGCGUGCGCAGGCGGUUUUGUAAGACAGGCGUGAAAUCCCCGGGCUCAACCUGGGAAUUGCGCUUGUGACUGCAAGGCUAGAGUGCGUCAGAGGGGGGUAGAAUUCCACGUGUAGCAGUGAAAUGCGUAGAGAUGUGGAGGAUACCGAUGGCGAAGGCAGCCCCCUGGGACGUGACUGACGC